GGCUCCUGUGUCUUUAUUAAACAUUUCCUUUAAGCUGCAUACUUUGGCUCCCUGCCCAAAUGCACCAAGAAAGCAUCCACAGAGCAGCUCGGCCGCGGGCUGGCGGAGCAGCCCCCGCAGGGCCGAGCACCUGCGCAGCUGGCCUUGGUGUCCCGGGUCCCCGGGCCUGCCGGCGAGGCGGAGCCCCGGGCACAGGGUGCCGGCGGCGAGCAGCAGCAGCAUGGUGGCCCCGGGCCAGCACGCGGCUGCGACGUGGCAGCCAGGUGGGUGGGCAGCGCCGGGCCCCGCGUGUGCCCGGGCCGGGCCGGGCUGGGCCGGGCUGGGCCGGGGGCACGGGGAAGGGGGGGGCGGCCCUGCGGGGUGACCGCGCCGUUCGGGCUCGCCGAGCGCUGCCCCGGCGGCGGGCGGGACGGACGGACGGACGGACGGACGGAGGGGGCGCGGCGGUGAUGUCAGCGCGGCCUCCGGCCGGCGCUGCCAGAAAUGCGCCUUCUCUGUGACGCCUUCGGAGCAGCCCAGCAGUUAAAUUAGUAACUACGAUAAAAGCUGCCAGUGCUGUUUGGAGACAGGGUUUCUAAAUCCCGGACAACGCGUGGAUGGAGCCGUCCUGGAGCUUGAGCCUUCGGUCCCCUCCGCCAACAUCCAUCUCGGCAGAAAGGGUGCACAGCUCCACGCAGGCUCUGCCUGGAGUGGGACUCGGUCUAGAUCUUCCUCAGGCAGGACUGGGUAUUUUUUCCAGACAUUGUCCAGUAAAUACUGUGCAUCAUCUGUAUGUCUGUCCUGUCCAGAGUGGCAGAGAGGAACUGCAAAAUAGGGAGCUGAGGAAAACCCCCGAGAGCCUCUGCUGACGGCCAGGUGCCCGCUUCUCCCUGCUCGGCACUCUGCUUUCCCCCCAGAAAACAAAGCUGCCGUCAUACGAGUGCCCAUAAAACACGAGGCAUCCUGAGUGCAGAGAUUAGUGGUAAUUUUACAAGGACUCAAAUAACGUCGGUCUGCAGGGUGCAGCACUGCCUUGAAAGGGAACAGCAGGCAUUUCCCCUGGAAGCAAGUUUCCUCUUUCGAGCAGUUUACUGCCGAGGUGCAGUGUCACAUUGUGGCACGAAUACACUGUCAGCCUUUGGUUUGGAAGAUGAACAUUUGAUACCUCUUUCUGCUGCCAAAAUGCACUGCCCAGACCCAACUCCCAGCAUGGUUAUUUUUUGAAGCAUUAUGUAAUUGGAUUGCAUGGUCAGUAGUGCUUCCUUAACAAGCGUUUCAGCAAACCUUCUGCCUGCUGCAGCCAAUCCUCAGCCCUUACAUACACACUUACGCAGGCUCAGUCUGGAGUAAACUCGCUGCUAAAUACAGUUAGGAAGCAGACGAAACCAGGCUGGGAAUAGAUCAUCUGCUUCCCCGCGCUACGUGAGCCGUGGUGUGGCCAAGCCCUCGGUGCCGCUGGUGUGAAAACGGGAUCACGCUGACUAUCCCAGCUGAGGGGUCACUGCUGCCUCCUCCACCGUGCCUCUCCCUAAUGGGGGAACAAAUCUGCCUUUUGGAGCACAGAGAGGCAACGGGACCCAGUGUCCUUGUCUGCUCUCACCCUGCCAUGACUGCCGUGAGCCCUGGGGACCAGCCCAGGGAACCCUCUGCGAAGGCGCCCAGGGCAGCAGGGCCUUUGUCCUGGGUUGUGGUGUCAGCUGAGGGGCUGGUUUGGGGCCUUUGUCCCAGGUUCUGGUGUCGGCUGAAGGGCUGGUUUGGGGCCUUUGUGCCGAGUUCUGGUGUCGGCUGAAGGGCUGGUUUGGGGCCUUUGUCCCAGGUUCUGGUGUCGGCUGAAGGGCUGGCUUGGCAGCCAGGGCUCAGUGCAGCUCCUGGGGCUGGCUGGCUCCCGGCCGGCUCGGCCCUCGCCGUGUUUUCCAGGAGCGUCCCUCUCCUCCAGCCGCUGGCAGCCCACGGGUUAUGGCUCUGCUGACUCACGGCUUCCUGUUUGUGAUUGCUGACUGGUGGCAGCAAUUGCAGAAGCAAUAAGAGAUAUUAAAAAGCGUGAACUUCCACUGGGACCAGGAGAUACAAUUAGGGCUGUGCCAAGAAAUACACUGCAGCGAGCUGCGGAGCCCUGCAGCCCCCCGUUCCCUUGCAGGAAGUAGGAAAAUGAACAUCGCUGGCCUUUUAUCAUCUCUGAACCCAAAUAAAAAUUGCGUUUGACUUCU
ensembl:lncRNA